GUCGGCGACCAUACCACGUUGAAAGCAUUGGUCCUCGUCCGAUCACCGAAGUUAAGCAAUGUUGGGCCCGGUUAGUAAUUGCAUGGGUGACCGGCUGGGAAUACGGGUGUUGCCGGCU
rnacentral:rRNA from 1 species